GGGGGGGGGGGGGGCUUGGGGGAGGAGGGAGGGAAAGUGGAUCAACAUCACCGAAGGAGGACAGCGAGCAAGAUUAGGGCUGGCUAAUGAUAAAUGAGAAGGCGCCGCUGACAGCUCCUCUCUCCGCGGCUCCCGCCCGGCAGCUCCGCGCUGCGCGCUCCGUGCGCACCUCCGCCCGCACCCGCGGCCGCCGCUUCGCUCCCCUCCGCCCAUCUCUUCUCAGUUUUAAUCUCUUUUUAUUAUUAUUAUUAUCGUUAUCAUCGUUAUUAUUGUUAUUAUCAUAUAUUUUUUUCAUUAUUAUUAUUUUUUCUUAAUUUUUCACCUCCGCGUAGCGCGCAGAGCGCUUGGGGGGGGGGGCUCCAUUUUAACCCCCCCCACCUUCGCCCCAAAACCGCUUUCCUCGGGAUUACGCCGCAUCGAGGGACCGGAGCAGGGGGGCAGCUCCUGGGGUCAGCGCUCCCCCUCCAGAUGGAAGGAGGUUGGGCAAAGCAAAGCCACUUUUUUAUUACCAUUUCCCCACUUUAACCCUUCCUUCUGAUUACCGCUAUUUUUCCGGUGGCUGUUUAUGCGCCUCUCCCCCGCCUCCCCCCCUACCCCCCCCUUCCUUUAAUCCUUAUAAUUUAAAUCAAAAGUGUCGGGGAUGCAGAUGGGGGGAGCGCUGUGUCUGCAGGGCGAGGCCGGGCGUAAAUCUCUUGGAGGGAUAAACAUGUCAUUUGUUCCCUUUGUAUGGUAAUGCGUCCCCCCCCACUCCCGCAGAUGCCCCCCCCCCCCUUCACCCCCCAGCAGCUGCCCCGGCCAUACAUCCUCCCUACAAAAGAUCCCAAUUACCCAUCGGCUGCCUCAUUAUACCCCUAACACAGAGGCGUGUGCGAGCGGCGGCGGAGGGGAGGGCUGGGGGAGAGGAGGGGGUGGCAGCACCUGAAUUAUUCAGAAAAUGCAAUAAAAUAAAAUGAAAGAAAAGAAAAUUCAAGAAACUGCAGAGGGGAGGGAGGUGGAGGGGGCCACGACCCCGCGGCCUAACGCCGAGCGGUGCCCCCGCAGAGCCCCUGCAGCCCCGCGCUGCUCCACCACCACCCCACCUUCUUAUAUUCUUCCUCCUUUUUUAUCCCUUUUUUUCCCCCCUCCACCCUUUUUUUUCCUCCUCUUAUAGGCAGACAGGUGCCUGAUAGCCCAUCGCCUACCCUGCAUCCCGCUGGGGCCCUUCUCUCAUCCCUUCUCCUAUCCCCUUUCCCGUCCUUUUCUCCCAAGCUGUUUCUCCUACCCAUUUUCCCAUCCCCUUUCCCAUCUCUUCUCCAUUCCCUUUUCCUAUCCCUUCUCCUGAACCUUUCCCCCAUCUCUUCCUCCUAUCUUUUUCUCCAUCCUCUUUUCCCAUCCUUUUCCCUUCCUUUUCCCCAUCCCUUUUCUCAUCAUUCUCCCAUUCCUUCUCCCAUCCCUUCUCAUCUCUUUCCCCCAUUCCUUUAACCCAUUCCUUUUCCCAUCCUUCUCCCAUCCCUUUCCCAUCCCCUGUCCAAUUCCAUUUCCCGUCUCUUCUCCCCAUUCCUUUUUCCCAUCCCUUUUCCAUUCUCCUUCCAUUCCCUUCUUCCAUUUCCUCUCCCGCCCUUCUUCUUCCCAUCCUCUUUCCCAUCCCCUCUCUUUGCAGCUGGAGCCCAUCCACUGCCCUCGCCCACAGCUGGCCCAGUGUUCCCAGCAGGAGCCCAGCACUGGCCAAAGCCAACCCUUACUGGAGGUUCCUCUUUCUCACCCCAUGGCCUGGGGCCCCCAGAUCUCUUUGCAGCUCCGUGAGCAGACUCUUGCCUCUGGGAUGGGAGCAGAGAUGAUGGCUCGGGGUCCCUGGGACAGCUCCUUGCACCCCCCCAGGGGUGCUGCAGGACCAUUUUUCUGGGAUCUGCAGCUCAUUCCCAGCCACACACCUCCCAGGAGCAGGGCUACAAAUCACCUCCAUCGCCCUAAAUGUAGCCUGAUGAUGAGAUCAUAAGCAUGGAUCUUGGUGGCAUCGUCACAUUAUGGGGUCGGGCAGCGAAACCGCGUGCGGUACCCCGAGGAGGAGGGAUGGCCGAGCAUGGCACAGUGGUGAUGCUCCCACAUACCACCCUAUCCCUGUUAUUAAAACAUCUCCAAACAAAGCAUCCCCUAUAAAUAUAUGUUUCCCUCCAUCCAAGAUGCCCUGAAUCAGGCCAAUAGUGAGAUUAAUUCCAAUCAGGACCAUGGGGACCCAAGAGACUAGGUUUGCUCCAAGCUCACAUGGGUGAUGAGCGACCAAAGGAGGAAAACCUACAGGCUUUGCCCAUUGUGGGUCUGGGAGGAGAGGAGCUGGAAGGCGGUCCUCUGCUGAGGAUGCAGGAUGCUCUGUUUCCAUGGCACUUGCAGAGUUGUGUGUGCGUGUGCACAGUCCCAAGCCAUGCAGCGAUGAUGGGGUGGUGAUGCUGCUAUGGCAUCCCAGUGUCUAUAGUCCUUUUCACAUGCUUUGCUCCACAGCCAGGGAACAGGGCUGAAAAUCAACGCUCAGAGGGGGAAGGGAACCAGGAGUCAGCACUGCUGUGCUCCCAGGUUUGGAAUGAGGCUGCUCUCCAAGAGGGGAAUGAGUCUGCUGGGGGAUGAGUAAGGAAGAGGGAUCCCCAUGGCUCCCUGAUACAGUCAGACACAUCCUGACCUCCUCAAUGGGAUCACAUGGGUUAGAGGGCAAGAGCUGCAUAAGAAGAGUUCAAGAGAUUUCUGCCCUCAUCCAGAGUUUUAAUGGGGACACGAUGCAAGAUGUACAAAUCUUUAAUUGCUAUCAGUACUUGGAAGGAUAUGAAUGGAAUCAGCACUCCUCACGUGAACCUGUACAUCGUGGCACAUAAAUACAUUUAUACCUGUCCCAGAAACCCCAAUCCCUAAAAUAUCCAUCCUCUCAUUCCAUGUAAACGUCAUGAUUUUAGGGCACGACACCGUCCCAGCCCUAAAGGUCACAUUAGGAGGAUCCUGAGCCCUUCUCGACCCACGGCAAGAAAGCAGCAUUUCCAAGUCAGUCUGGGUCGCUCCCAUGGUCUUUUGGGAUCAUUUCAUCCAAAGUGUGGGAUUUAGGUUAGAUAUUAGGAAGAAGUGCUUCACAGUGAGAGUGGUGAAGAGGUGGCACAGGCUGCCCAGAGAGCUGUGGGUGCCCCAUUCCUGGCAGUGCCCAAGGCUAUGGAUGGGGCUGUGGGCAGCCUGGGCUGUGGGAUGUGCCCCUGCCCACAGCAGGGAUUGCACUGAGGGGUCUUUAUGGGCCCUUCCAACCCAACCCAUAUUGAUGCACCCACAUCUUUCGGUGACCCAUAGCUGCCUUCCCAAAUGUGUUGAGGUUUUCAGCAGCACACAAAGGCUGGCAAAUGCUUUUGCCCUGCCAUUGCUUCGUGCUCACUUUGCCCCACUGAUGACAGACCAAAAAUAAACCAAGAGCCCAUCUCCCCUUCAGCAUCCCCUCCUCCCCCAGACACAAAGCACGGCGCGGAGCGUAUCCAGAUGGGGAAAGGCAAAUGGCUGGGGAGGGAGGAGGCUGGGGAUGGAGAGACAGCAGCCAUCAGUGCACAAACCUGACACAAAUCCCUUGGCCACGGCGACAUGUGAGGAUUUCUCCUUUUUUAUUUCAUUCCUUUUUAUGAACGUUUCGUUAUUUGUACGGAGACGUUUUUAUUUUAAACCAAGAUGUGCUGAAGUGCUUCCAUGUGGCAACAGCUGUAGAGAUGAGCUAAUACAAAGCUCAGCAAUUUCCCCGUGAGCACGGGUCUUCCUCUGCAGUCAUCAAACUGAUAACAUCUUAUACAGAGAAGACAAAAGUAAUGCGUACGCGUGUGUAAUUUGCAAUGUCAAUGUGUUCGACUGUGUGUUGGAAUCAUAAAAGUUAUUUCAUUUAUUACAGUCGUGCAUAAGGCUUCUUAGAGCUGCAGACUUGGAAUAGGCAAUUAUGCCCAUAGGUUAAUAACAUACAGCCAUUUGACUGACAACUGGAAUUAGAUUUAAACACGGCAGAGUGGUAUACUAAAGGCACUUUAUUAAAACAGUGGCUGGGGAUUUGUUCAAAAUACCAGUCUCAUACCUUUCCUGGUAAACUACUUAUAAGCAGCACUAUAUCGUGGCCUGUUAUAUUGCAUUUGUUCUCCUUUCCCCUUCUACUUCGUGUUGAGCCAUAUAGCGAGGGAUUUGGCUGGUCAGGUUUUGCUGGAGAGAAGGCAGCC
ensembl:lncRNA